UGCCAGCCGCCGCGGUAAUACGGAGGGAGCGAACGUUGUUCGGAUUUACUGGGCGUAAAGGGCGUGUAGGCGGUUUUGUAAGUCAGAGGUGAAAUGUCUCGGCUCAACCGAGGACCUGCCUUUGAAACUGCAGAACUUGAGGCUGUGAGAGGAAACUGGAAUUCCUAGUGUAGCGGUGAAAUGCAUAGAUAUUAGGAAGAACACCAGUGGCGAAGGCGAGUUUCUGGCACAGUUCUGACGCUGAUGCGCGAAAGCUAGGGGAGCGAACGGGAUUAGAUA
rnacentral:rRNA from 1 species